UAUGAAUGUAUUAAAUUUUAUAACAAAAUAAAACUUUCAACAACGGAUCUCUUGGCUCUCGCAUCGAUGAAGAACGCAGCGAAAUGCGAUAAGUAAUGUGAAUUGCAGAAUUCAGUGAAUCAUCGAAUCUUUGAACGCACCUUGCGCUCCAUGGUAUUCCGUGGAGCAUGCCUGUUUGAGUGUCAUGAAUACUUCAACCCUCCUCUUUCUUAAUGAUUGAAGAGGUGUUUGGUUUCUGAGCGCUGCUGGCCUUUACGGUCUAGCUCGUUCGUAAUGCAUUAGCAUCCGCAAUCGAACUUCGGAUUGACUUGGCGUAAUAGACUAUUCGCUGAGGAAUUCUAGUCUUCGGAUUAGAGCCGGGUUGGGUUAAAGGAAGCUUCUAAUCAGAAUGUCUACAUUUUAAGAUUAGAUCUCAAAUCAGGUAGGACUACCCGCUGAACUUAAGCAUAUCAAUAAGCGGAGGAAAAGAAACUAACAAGGAUUCCCCUAGUAGCGGCGAGCGAAGCGGGAAGAGCUCAAAUUUAUAAUCUGGCACCUUCGGUGUCCGAGUUGUAAUCUCUAGAAAUGUUUUCCGCGUUGGACCGCACACAAGUCUGUUGGAAUACAGCGGCAUAGUGGUGAGACCCCCGUAUAUGGUGCGGACGCCCA
rnacentral:rRNA from 1 species